UACGGAGGAUGCAAGCGUUAUCCGGAAUCAUUGGGCGUAAAGCGUCCGCAGGUGGCAGUUCAAGUCUGCUGUUAAAGACAGAAGCUCAACUUCUGGUCAGCAGUGGAAACUGGACAGCUAGAGUACGGUAGGGGUUGAGGGAAUUCCCAGUGUAGCGGUGAAAUGCGUAGAUAUUGGGAAGAACACCAGUGGCGAAGGCGCUCAACUGGGCCGUAACUGACACUCAGGGACGAAAGCUAGGGUAGCGAAAGGG
rnacentral:rRNA from 1 species